rnacentral:rRNA from 1 species
UACGGAGGGGGCUAGCGUUGUUCGGAAUUACUGGGCGUAAAGGGCGCGUAGGCGGCCUGUUAAGUCGGACGUGAAAUCCCCGGGCUCAACCCGGGAACUGCGUCCGAUACUGGCAGGCUUGAAUCCGGGAGAGGGAUGUGGAAUUCCAGGUGUAGCGGUGAAAUGCGUAGAUAUCUGGAGGAACACCGGUGGCGAAGGCGGCAUCCUGGACCGGCAUUGACGCUGAGGCGCGAAAGCCAGGGGAGCAAACGGG